UACGUAGGUGGCAAGCGUUGUCCGGAAUUAUUGGGCGUAAAGCGCGCGCAGGCGGUCCUUUAAGUCUGAUGUGAAAGCCCACGGCUCAACCGUGGAGGGUCAUUCGAAACUGGGGGACUUGAGUACAGAAGAGAAGAGUGGAAUUCCACGUGUAGCGGUGAAAUGCGUAGAGAUGUGGAGGAACACCAGUGGCGAAGGCGACUCUUUGGUCUGUAACUGACGCUGAGGCGCGAAAGCGUGGGGAGCAAACAGG
rnacentral:rRNA from 1 species